rnacentral:rRNA from 1 species
AUUGAACGCUGGCGGCGUGCUUAACACAUGCAAGUCGAUCGGUAACAGGUGUAGCAAUACAUGCUGACGAGAGGCGGACGGGUGAGUAAUGCUUGGGAAUCUGCCUAUUAGUGGGGGACGAACCCGGGGAAACGUCGGGCGUAAUACCGCAUACGCUCUACGGAGGAAAGCCGGGACCGCAAGCUGGCGCUAAUAGAUGAGCCCAAGUCGGAUUAGCUAGUUGGUAGGGUAACGGCCUACCAAGGCGACAAUCCGUAGCUGGUCUGAGAGGACGACCAGCCACACCGGAACUGAGACACGGUCCGGACUCCUACGGGA